rnacentral:tRNA from 1 species
UCCCUGGUGGCUCAGACAGUAAAGAACUUGCCUGUAAUGCAGGAGACCUAGGUUCGAUCCCUGGGUCGGGAA